ACACCAUGGGGGGGGGGGCGGGUCCCCCCCCCUCCCCAUGCCCAUACCUUCAAAGAGAAUUGCCCCCCCCGCCGCCUGCCGGUUCUAACGGCAAUGCUUCUAAGCGUGGAUUUUCUAAUGAUUCGGGAUUUUCCGGGUCAUCUGGGACACGGAGAAGUGGCAAUUUUAGUAACGCGUCGUCUUGGGGACGAGUCGGGAAUAAUACGAUUUUGAGGAAGACUGAGAAAGUGUGUAAUUAUUGGGUUCAAGGUAAAUGUAG
rnacentral:misc_RNA from 1 species